rnacentral:misc_RNA from 1 species
UAUUUGUUCUUUAACAAUGUGGUAAAAAGUAUAAGUAAAGAUUCCUUGAUUAAUUUAGGGUUAUUUUUAUUUUCGAUUGAGAUGUAUUUUUAUGUUUUGAUUGAUAAAUGGGAAUAAUUUUUAGUUUAUUUAAUUAACGAGUCUUGGUAAUUUUUGAAAACCGGUGUUGAGAUAUAGUUUUGAUUGGUUUUAGUUAAUAGAUUUUAGAUUUAUUGAUAUAAGACUUUUUGGGGUUA